GAAUGGCCAAGCAAGCCAUGGGACAGAGUUCAUAUUGAUUUUGCAGGACCAUUUUUAGGGUCUAUGUUUCUUAUCAUGGUUGAUGCACAUUCAAAGUGACCAGAAGUUAUAAAAAGGAAAAACAUUACAUCAGAAAGCACAAUCAAUGUUUUGCGAACAAUCUUCUCAAUGAACGGAAUACCAUCACGUAUUGUGAGUGACAAUGGACGUCAAUUUACAUCACAAGAAUUUGAAAAUGUCAUGCAAUUAAAAGGUAUUAAACACAUCAGAGGUGCGCCAUAUCAUCCAUCGACAAAUGGUUUAGCAGAACGUUUUGUUCAAACUUUUAAGCAAGCUAUGAAAUCUAGUUCAAAUGAUUCAGGAACCGUUUCGAAAAAAUUAGCGCAGUUUUUGUUAGCAUACCGUAACACAGUACAACUAAUAAAACUCCAGCAAAACUUAUGAUUGGAAGAGAUUUGAAAACAAGGAUGAAUCUUUUAAGACCGUUCAUUGAAAACAAAGUACAAACUAAACAGGAGGAAAUGUGUGACUGUAGAAAAACUUACCAACGUGAAUUAAAGGAUGGACAAUCAGUUGUAGUCCCUGAUUACCGGAACAAAAAUAAAUGGACACCAGGGACGAUAUAAAAAAAAAACUGGACCUGUGUCGUAUCAAGUACAAGUCGAUCCUACAACAAUAUGGAGGAGACACGCCGAUCAAAUUAUCGAUUCAAACACUUCUAGCACUGAACAAUCGAUUUCAGAACAAACUACAUUUGACAAUCAUAUAAGUAGUGAACAUGUCAACACAACGGAGAAUGAACACCGUCCACAAAAACCUGAAGAACACAAAUCAAAUCAACCAACAACACCAGUAAAGCGGUAUCCAACAAGGAAAAGGAAAUCCAACAAGUUGAAAGAUUUUAUAUAUAAUUGACGCACAGUGUUGUGGGCAUAAUAAUCCCACGUGCAUCAAUUGAAACCUUUAGGGUUUCCGUAUUUUUAGUGUAGUGUUAAUUAUAUCUCGUAGUAAACGUAGUUAGUGAAUUAGUGACUUAGAAUAGACAAAACCGAACAGUAUUCGCAUAAGACAAUAUUCAUUUUAUUUUUCAUUAGUUGCUAUAUGAACAUUAAUUAAUACUCAGAACUAUUAAAGUUAUAAUCGUAAUAUCAGACUUUUAAAGAUAAAGAAG
rnacentral:lncRNA from 1 species